UCCCAUGUAGCUCAGUUGGUAAAGCAUCUGCCUACAAUGUGGGAGACCUGGGUUCAAUUCCCGGGUUGGGAA
rfam:Ovis aries breed Texel chromosome 2, whole genome shotgun sequence.